rnacentral:rRNA from 1 species
GGUAACGCGUGAGCAACCUUUCUCUCAGUGGGGAAUAACACAGGGAAACUUGUACUAAUACCGCAUGAGACCACAGCAUCGCAUGGUGCAGGGGUCAAAGAUUAAUUGCUGAGAGGUGGGCUCGCGUCUGAUUAGGUAGUUGGUGAGGUAACGGCCCACCAAGCCGACGAUCAGUAGCCGACCUGAGAGGGUGAUCGGCCACAUUGGGACUGAGACACGGCCCAAACUCCUACGGGAGGCAGCAGUGGGGAAUAUUGGGCAAUGGGGGAAACCCUGACCCAGCAACGCCGCGUGGAGGAAGAAGGUUUUCGGAUCGUAAACUCCUGUCCUCAGGGAAGAGCAGAAGACGGUACCUGAGGAGGAAGCCCCGGCUAACUACGUG